CUUAACCGACUGCGCCACCCAGGCGCCCCAAGGUCUCUGCAUUUAUAACAUGGACAUAAAAUAAUCUCCACUUUAUAGACUCAGAGUAAGUUCUAAAUGAGUUAACACAUGUAAAAUUAUUCAAGUAAUGCCUAUGUCAUGGCUAACACUCGGGUGAAUGUUAGCUCAUUCACAUUCUACAAGCAAUACCCUGCUUGAAUUUUACACAAAUACGUCUAUUAGUUUUACCUCAAACAUAAUUACUUUUGUCCCCAUUUUACAGGUGAAGAAACAAUGUAAAAGGAAAACAAAUGGUUUGGCCAAGUCCCUACAACUACUACGUGAGCAAACAGGAACUGGACACCAGGUCCCCAAACUCCAGCUGCGUUUUCUGAGUGUCUACUCGGUGCCAGGUGGUUGAGAAAGGUGCUUUUUAACAUGUCAACACUUGCUAUGUCCUGCCCCUAUUAUCAAUUGAGGAUAUUGAGGAUAGAGUUAGAGGCUAACUUGUAAAGAGGUAGUGGAAACAGGGCUGGAGAGCAAUUAGGCUCUUCCACACCCCCUUGAUGGAAUCUACGUUACCCCAUAGCAUACUGGUUGCCUCAGUGCUACCCACUAGUGCUUACUAGCCCCUGUGAGGAAAUCAGAGUUAAUGAAUCUCAGCCCUGUCAGAGAAAAGCUAAUAGCUUUGUGGGAAAUAGAAAAAAGUACCUACAAAGCUUUAAUACAAGGUGAAAAGGUGCCUGGGAACUCGGAGAGAUUCCUUCCAGUUGGAAGUGAACCUUGAAGAGGAGUGGAACUGGGGCGUGUGGAUAAGGGGCCUGGGUUGGGGGAAGAGCUGACUGGAGAAGCAGACACACGGAACUCCCAAGAAUAUCCAGUUAAGUCAGUGUGUGCAGAAGGCUCAGGGAAGGUCCCAGGACAGCCCUGCACCCCAGUUUUGGUUGGCCGGACCGAGUGACGUUGAAGGGAACGUGAAAAGGCAGACACAGAAGACCCUGUAUGGAUCCAGAAGGCUGGCAGGCAGGCUUAACAUCUCCAGGUCAAAGACUAUACGGACCUUCUUGGAGUAAUCUGUCCACCCCCAUGAGAAAAGGCACCUGGAUACUGACAUUGUUGGUUCUGACCCACCUACCAUGAAGCCUGUUCAACGCCUGCCAUGUUCAUGCCCCUCUAAACCUCCAUGUGCUAUUUUUAGUGUCCUGCUUUUAAAUAUGUGCUAACAGCCCAGGGUCGAUUGAAGACAAUUGAAGGAAGCCUCCAACCUGAGCAAAGGAGACCAAAACUAACAAACACCAUAAAAAAAGAAAAGUGAGGGAAGAGGGAUUUGAAAAGGGAGACAAUGUGGGGAGAAGCAACUUAAACCAGAAAAAAAAAACUAUUAUUAAUAUCUUUGUAGACAAAUGACAUUCCAUUGCAGCCACAAAUUAAGAACAGGUUAUUUUUCCAAGGAGUAUUCAUAAAACCAAAAAAGCACUUAGAAAUGUAAAAAUAAAACAGCAAAAGUGAAAAAGCUCAAAAAAGUUGGCAGAUACAAAACCAAAA